GAUGAACGCUGGCGGCGUGCCUAAUACAUGCAAGUCGAGCGAACGGACGAGAAGCUUGCUUCUCUGAUGUUAGCGGCGGACGGGUGAGUAACACGUGGAUAACCUACCUAUAAGACUGGGAUAACUUCGGGAAACCGGAGCUAAUACCGGAUAAUAUUUUGAACCGCAUGGUUCAAAAGUGAAAGACGGUCUUGCUGUCACUUAUAGAUGGAUCCGCGCUGCAUUAGAUAGUUGGGAAGGUAACGGCUUACCAAGGCAACGAUGCAUAGCCGACCUGAGAGAGUGAUCGGCGACCUGGGAACGGAACCAGGGUCCAGACUACUGCGAGAGGCAGCAGUCGGGUACCUUCCGCAAUGGGCGAAAGCCUGACGGAGCAGCGCCGAGUCAGUGAUGAAGGUCUUCGGAUCGUAAAACUCUGUUAUUAGGGAAGAACCUAUGUGUCAGUAACUGUGCACAUCUUGACGGUAACUAAUAAGAAAGCCCCGGCUAACUACGUG
rnacentral:rRNA from 1 species